rnacentral:rRNA from 1 species
GUGGGGAAUUUUGGACAAUGGGCGCAAGCCUGAUCCAGCAAUGCCGCGUGUGUGAAGAAGGUCUUCGGAUUGUAAAGCACUUUAAGUUGGGAGGAAGGGCAGUAAGUUAAUACCUUGCUGUUUUGACGUUACCGACAGAAUAAGCACCGGCUAACUUCGUGCCAGCAGCCGCGGUAAUACGAAGGGUGCAAGCGUUAAUCGGAAUUACUGGGCGUAAAGCGCGCGUAGGUGGUUUUGUAAGUUGGAGGUGAAAUCCCCGGGCUCAACCUGGGAACUGCCUCCAAAACUGCAUGACUAGAGUACGGUAGAGGGUAGUGGAAUUUCCUGUGUAGCGGUGAAAUGCGUAGAUAUAGGAAGGAACACCAGUGGCGAAGGCGACUACCUGGACUGAUACUGACACUGAGGUGCGAAAGCGUGGGGAGCAAACAGGAUUAGAAACCCCAGUAGUCC